CAUAUGCAAUAAUAAAAUUUAGUUUUCAUUUUGUUGUAGUAGUGUAUUCUUGAAAUAAUUGUUUUUAAUUCAGUGUUUUGUCAUAUCGCCAAGAGUUUCAUUAUCGCGAAAAUACCACGAAAUAUCGUGAUAUUAUUUUAGGGCCAUAUCACCCACCCCUAGUAGGUGGUAGUGAUCGGUAACGGUGACUAUGGCAGAAAUCACAUCCACAUUUAAUGCAGAAAGCCCUACAAACAUAUCCCACAGAUCAGUACAGCAUACUGUAGCUUCUAUGGGACGUGACAAAAGUCAUGGAACAGGAUACUAGUUUCUGUCACAUUACUUUUGGCAUGUCAGUGUAUAUUAACUGCAUUAACCUUCAUUAUCUCCAAUGAAAUGCUUAAAAAAGGCCAACUUUGAGUACUAAAGAUGUUAUGUAUAUGUUAAUUAUGUUAAUGCAAUUACAAUUGUAUGUAUGCAAUCUCCCUCACCAUGAAGGCAAUGUACACCUCUACUAUGAAUGACGAGAAUGGACCAGGACUGAAACAGGAGGGCGUUGCCGGUGUCCUUGAUUCACUCCGGCAGAGAGGAAAGGCCAAGAAAGAAAGAAUUCUUCUCAGAGACAUUACUCAGUUCACAAACAUCCAGAGGACACUACACACUGCUAGUGCUCAGACAGAGUCGGGCAUCGCUGCGGUCAAAGAGGCGGUAAGGAUCAGCUGUGAUGUUGUCAGUGCCGACAGAUCAGGGUGCAGAAUUAGUGAAUUUGAUGAGCAAAAUAAUUAUCAAACUACUACUACUACUAAGAAGUAAAAGCUAAAUACAAAUGUAUAAACCAGCGGUCACUAAUAGGCGGACUGUGGUCCGGGUCUGGACCCAGACAUUGUCCAAUGCAGACCCAAACCGAUAAACUACUGAGAAGGAUUUAACUUAAACUUUUCUUGUCUUUAUGGUAUACGUGCUUUGCGGUGCAGUAAACUUACAGACCUAUCACGUGUAGUGUAAGAUCACCAAACGCUCUCCUCAGCCAAUCAGAUCUGUGCAGAUGUGGGAGCACAGGUCACACACAGGCAAAGUACAGAGUGAGAAGUAGUAGUCGGAGAAUAAAAUGAGAAAGGGUAAUUCA
rnacentral:lncRNA from 1 species